CAGUAGCCGCGGGAAUACAGAGGGUGCAAGCGUUAAUCGGAAUUACUGGGCGUAAAGCGCGCGUAGGUGGUUUGUUAAGUUGGAUGUGAAAUCCCCGGGCUCAACCUGGGAACUGCAUCCAAAACUGGCAAGCUAGAGUAUGGUAGAGGGUGGUGGAAUUUCCUGUGUAGCGGUGAAAUGCGUAGAUAUAGGAAGGAACACCAGUGGCGAAGGCUACCACCUGGACUGAUACUGACACUGAGGUGCGAAAGCGUGGGGAGCAAACAGGAUUAGAGACCCCUGUAGUCCCUGUCUCUUAUAC
rnacentral:rRNA from 1 species